rnacentral:rRNA from 1 species
UGGGGAAUAUUGGACAAUGGGCGAAAGCCUGAUCCAGCCAUGCCGCGUGUGUGAAGAAGGUCUUCGGAUUGUAAAGCACUUUAAGUUGGGAGGAAGGGCAGUAAGCGAAUACCUUGCUGUUUUUACGUUACCGACAGAAUAAGCACCGGCUAACUCUGUGCCAGCAGCCGCGGUAAUACAGAGGGUGCAAGCGUUAAUCGGAAUUACUGGGCGUAAAGCGCGCGUAGGUGGUUCGUUAAGUUGAAUGUGAAAGCCCCGGGCUCAACCUGGGAACUGCAACCAAAACUGGCGAGCUAGAGUAGGGCAGAGGGUGGUGGAAUUUCCUGUGUAGCGGUGAAAUGCGUAGAUAUAGGAAGGAACACCAGUGGCGAAGGCGACCACCUGGGCUCAUACUGACACUGAGGUGCGAAAGCGUGGGGAGCAAACAGG